CAAAGCAAUUAGGGGCAGAAUACGUAGCUGUAAUGCACGGGUUAAAAUACAAGUUUUAGAAAUUCCAGCUCGAAAUUUUCUAGGUCUGUAAUAAUAACUCUGGAAAGUAUUAAAAUACAUUUUUAAUGAAUAUAAUCCUCCAAUUACUGACAUGUGCUUCACUGGGUGUCAUAUAGAAAAUUUUUAUCUUUUCGCCUCUCUCUUUUUCCUUCCUCCCAGGCUUCCUUUGCCUGGGAAUAUUUAAAAUUCAUUAUUCCACGCUGCAAGAAAUGAAAUAAAUACGACUGAGUAAAGCAGCCAGCAAAACCAGAAGGUGGACAGAUAAACUCCAAGUGCUUUAUCAUGAAUUCUGACCCUGACGUUUUGCCUGGGUCUGUGUAUGUACCUCCAGUGAAACCCCUCAUCAGGAUAAGGCUGUGUUCCCCAUGGACCUCUGCUUCAAGAGCAUCCCCAUGGCAAGAAAAGAGGGGACUUGCCUGUACCCUCUGUCUGCUGCCCUCCUUUCAUCCUUCUGGAUUGUACUCCUCUGUUUUCACUCUUUUUCUUCCAUUUAUGCUCUUACAUUGGAAAACAGAUACAACAGUCAUAAAAAAAAACAAUAGUACAAAAGAAAUAAAAGCCACAACAAUAAAAGUUGAGAGAAAAGGAAUUCCUGUUAACAUCUACCAAGGGAGAGUCCGCCUGCAGGGAAGGAAGCAGAGGAAGACAUUCAGAAGGAAGGCAACCUCCCAAGCCAUGAAAAUUCAUUUUGUAUCUCGAUGCGAUAGUCUUUUUAUCCUCAGAGCCCUAUUUGACUUUUCUUUCUUCUUUCUUCUUCAUAUCCUCAUGCCAGCCUUUUCUCCUUGCUGCUCCUUUUGGUUGAAGGUUGUAUGAGGAGCUUUUGUGUUACUACCUGAGCAAAGAAUAAGGUGCUACCUUGUUGUUUAAGUGGUCAGUGAAAUGAAUGGCUUCUGAAGCUCAGUGCCAAGUUCCCAGGUUCAUUCUAAUUACACAUUUAAAGUAACCGAAAGGAAGGAUCCCUACUAAGGUUGGCUUCAUCAAAAUGGAACGGUCCUA
ensembl:lncRNA